AGAAUAUUAUAAUUAAGCUUCUAACUUAAACAAAAGCGUUAAAUCGUUUAUAUUCUU
rnacentral:tRNA from 1 species